CGCAUCCUGCGCCGGUCGAAGCCCUGCGUUCCUACGCGGGGUGUUUUCGUAGGCCGGGCAGGAUGCG
rnacentral:ncRNA from 1 species